AGGAGAGUUUGAUCCUGGCUCAGGAUUAGAUACCCUGGUAGUCCAGAAUUCGGCUUAGAGUUUGAUCCUGGCUCAGGAUGAACGCUAGCUACAGGCUUAACACAUGCAAGUCGAGGGGCAUCAUGGGAGGACUUCGGUCCUUUUGAUGGCGACCGGCGAAUGGGUGAGUAACACGUAUCCGACCUGCCCUGUACUGGAGGAUAGCCUCCCGAAAGGGAAAUUAAUACUCCAUGUGUCAAAUGUCCGCAUGGUCGUUUGAUGAAAGAUUUAUCGGUACAGGAUGGGGAUGCGUUCCAUUAGCCAGCCGGCGGGGUAACGGCCCACCGGGGCGACGAUGGAUAGGGGUUCUGAGAGGAAGGUCCCCCACACUGGAACUGAGACACGGUCCAGACUCCUACGGGAGGCAGCAGUGAGGAAUAUUGGUCAAUGGCCGCAAGGCUGAACCAGCCAAGUAGCGUGCGGGAGGACGGCCCUAUGGGUUGUAAACCGCUUUUAUACGGGGGUAAAACGCGCCACGUGUGGUGUCUUGCAAGUACCGUAAGAAAAAGGACCGGCUAAUUCCGUGCCAGCAGCCGCGGUAAUACGGAAGGUCCGAGCGUUAUCCGGAUUUAUUGGGUUUAAAGGGAGCGUAGGCGGGAUGCCAAGUCAGUUGUGAAAGUCCGCGGCUCAACCGUGGAAUUGCAGUUGAAACUGGUAUUCUUGAGUGUACAUAACGAAGGUGGAAUUUGUGGUGUAGCGGUGAAAUGCUUAGAUAUCACGAAGAACUCCGAUUGCGAAGGCAGCCUUCGGGGGUACUACUGACGCUGAGGCUCGAAAGUGCGGGAAUCAAACAGGAUUAGAUACCCUGGUAGUCCCCU
rnacentral:rRNA from 1 species